CCGAGUUGCCCACCCUCCCGCCCUUGAAUGGGUACUUCAGCGGGGAGUUUUCUUCUUUGGUGUCUGUUUUUACAGUUAUGUAACAGGAGGGAGAAUGUUCGCAUACGAUAGAAGGGCGGUUUGGUUUGGGAUACGAAGUCACAGCUGGCGGUAAUUGAUACAGCGGAAUGUUGGAGAUGGCUGAUGGCGUACUUGCCCGCCGGGAGUCCGGCGGUUGGCAUACCGCUCCAAGAUGUUCUUUGGUUUUGCUGUAUAAAAUAAAUAAGCUGUGGCCGAUCACCACCCAGCUAAAAGGUUA